rnacentral:rRNA from 1 species
GAUGAACGCUGACAGAAUGCUUAACACAUGCAAGUCUUUGGUGAAGCUGUGCUUGCACAGCCUAGCCAAGGCGGACGGGUGAGUAACGCGUAAGGAACUUGCCCUGCAGUCAGGGAUAACAGACGGAAACGACUGAUAAGACCUGGUAAAGUCAGGCGGACUCAUGUCCAGCCUGAUGAAAAGAGAUGCUGCAGGAGAGCCUUGCGUCCUAUUAGCUUGUUGGUGGGGUAACGGCCCACCAAGGCAAUGAUAGGUAGCCGGCCUGAGAGGGUGGACGGCCACAAGGGGACUGAGAUACGGCCCUUACUCCUACGGGAGGCAGCAGUGGGGAAUAUUGGACAAUGGGGGCAACCCUGAUCCAGCAAUUCUGUGUGCACGAUGAAGGUCUUCGGAUUGUAAAGUGCUUUCAGCAGGGAAGAAAAAAAUGACGGUACCUGCAGAAGAAGCGACGGCUAAAUACGUG